rnacentral:lncRNA from 1 species
CGUGACUAACGGGUCAACCUCUGUGCAGGUUCGCCCUCGGCGCCAAGUAUUCUGUCGAUAAGGACAGCAGCUUCCGCGCCAAGGUCAACAACAGCUCCGAGGUCGGCCUCGGCUACCAGCAGCGCAUCCGAGACGGUGUCACCCUGACGCUCUCCAGCAUGAUCGACGCCAAGAACUUCAACCAGGGCGGCCACAAGCUCGGCCUCUGCCUCGAGCUGGAGGCGUAAGCAGCUCGGCUUCGCUCGGGAGCAGAGACUGGCGAGAGUGGGAGAGAGUGGGAGCGUGAGAGAGAGCGAGAGAGAGCACGUGCACAUGUGGCGGGCGCGGCCCGGAGAGGACGUGUGGUGUGAUCCGGUCUCGUAUAGAGUGACGUCAUCCACUCCUUAGGUGACGUCACCGGGGCGUUUAGGUGUGACGUCACUGGUGUUUAGCUAUGACGUCACUGGUGUCCAGCUGGGACGUCUCCGGGACUUGGUUUGGGUUUGGAGAUCGGUGUUUAGCCGGGCCGGCGGCCGGCGGCGGCUGCUGAUUGGCUGCCGGUGGUUCGCAGUGGCCGCUGAUUGGCUGCCGGCCGGCCGACUGUGGUGUGACGUCAUUGUAUGGCCUCGCGCGGCGUGCGGUGCGAUUUGCCGGGGUAGGCGGCGGUCCCCGUCCCGCCGGCCGGCCGGCCGACCACCCGGUCUUAUACAGGAGGAAAACGCCCCGGCCUGUCCGGCGCAACUGGGCGGGGCAUAAACCGCCCCCGGCGCCGCGGUGGGCGGGGCAUAAAAUGGUGGAUACUGUGGACAGCCGGCCGGCCGGCGGGUCGGCGGAGACCGAGACAAAUAUACACUGAGCGAGACGGGAAA